GCCUGGAUGGCUCAGUCGGUUAAGCGUUCGACUUCGGCUCAGGUCAUGAUCUCACAGUUCGUGGGUUCGAGCCCCGCCUCGGGCU
rnacentral:tRNA from 1 species